rnacentral:lncRNA from 1 species
CCCUGGCUGCCAACUGCAUGUGCAUUUGGACCAAGCCCUGCUCGCAUGCCGCGCGCUGCAGAAACACGAAUGCUAUCUAGGGGUCUCAACAUAAAAUGCAUGGAUACCUGAGGUUCACAGCACGUAUGCAGUGGAAUUGAGCGAGCCGGCGAUAUCGGUUUGCCCAACGUUGCUCCGAACCAUCAUAAAACCUGUGCGCUCAAUCAUAAGCUGCAAAAUAUCAACAGAAUUUACUCUUGUUUGCACGGCACCUUGGGCUGACCGGAAUUGCAAAUUGGAGCUCGCUGUAGGUAGCUUCUGGCUUAUCAAAACAUACGGAUACCGUCAUGUGGGCAAGCGCUUUGCUUCGACCAUGCCUUCUUGUACCUCGCGGGCUGGCGCGACGAGGGCUCGGCCUGGGCGGGCCAGCGCCGCUCGCCGCCGCUCGGGGGCUGUUCAACAACACAGCCGCAAACGCCACGCCAGCUACGCCAGCAACAAGCCAUGCUACACAUAGCCACGCAGGCCACGGCGCUACCAGCAGCGCCGGCCUCAACAGCAGGCACCUGAGCCACAGCUCUAGCUGCAGCGCCGGCGCCGGCAGUAGCAGCGGACGUGGCGCCGAUGACGCCACCUAUACCACCACCACCACCACCGCUGCCACCGCUGCCACUGCCACUGCAAACCGCAAUGAUGCUGGCACCAUCAGUGACGCAGAGUGGGCUGAGGUGGUGGAGCUGCUGGGGGCAAUGGCGGCGACCAAGGGCCGCCCCAACGCGCCGGGCGGGUGGCGGGACGCGUACGAGUACAUGCCCGUGCACCUGCAGGUGUGCGUGUGUGCGAGCAAUGCUCGCUGCUAUGCUGGGCAGCAGUUAAUUAGUUUAGUUGGGUUUCUUUGGUUACUCAUGCGCUGUAGCGAUGUGUCCGGCGUCCCUCCUGCUUUUGCUGCAAUGGUUGACUGAAUGAUCGUCACAAUGCCUAACUCACAGCGUGUCGGACUGACCCCGGAGCGCCUUGCCUCCCUCAACUUCAUUCACGUGGCCGGAACCAAGGGCAAGGUGGGUCCUCACUGCUGUUUGCUGUGGGAACCCGUAGCAGCCUAGGACCAGCGGGCGGGUAGCAGGGCUAGGACCUGUGGACGGGUUUGCCGGCGGUGGUGCCGUGUGUGCAGGGGCAGGCACGAGGGGCAGGUGGGCUCAGAGGUUACACACGGCGGCCUAGGAUCUGAUGACAGGUCGUGCCAUCCUAUACAUGUACUCCCCCUCCUCCUGCUACCACGCCUCCUGCCACCCCUCCGCUUUUCACCCCUCCUCCUUCUCCACCCGUCGUCCUCCUUCGCCACCCCUCCUCCUCCUUCCCUACCCGCCCUCCCCCAACAAGCCCUCCACUGCCCACCGACCCCCUCCCCCCGCCACACACACACAGGGCUCCACGUGUGCUAUGGUGGAGUCGCUGCUGCGCGCCGCCGGCUACCGCACUGGGCUGUACACCUCGCCACACCUGGUGGACGUGAGGGAGCGACUGCGGCUGGACGGGUGGGCGCAGGGCCUCGGGGCCUCAGAGAGAGAAGGGGGUUUGCAAGUACCAGCCCAAACUAAAUCAAAACCAACGAAAACGAGCGGAGGACAGGCAGAGGCGUUAGUUGCCAGCGAUAAUACUUAUGGGAUGGGGGCCGAGGCGUCGUGGAGCAGCAGGGCGAGCGGCGCCGGCGAUAAAUGUCGCCGCCCGGGCUGCACAGAUGGUUGCAGAGGCCGUGCAAGAUGCACUACUGAAGACUGCAAGACGAAGUCGAUACCGAAGGAGGCGAUGUAAAGCGGAAACACAGACGAGAGAAGCUUGUGGGAUGGCAGUGCAAGAAGGGGCGGGGGCGGCCCUGGGAGGGAUGGGGCAAGCGCUUUGGCGCAGGGCAAACCAGGGAGGGUUUCCAGCCUUUCAUAUAGAUUCAGCACUGGUAGCUUUUGGGGCUGUUGACGGCCGGCCAGUCCCCACACCAAGAAGCCUUGCCCGCGUGCCCCUCCAAUAAGGCAAUAGCACAUCCAUCGCCUGCCGCCCAAGGCCACCAACCCCUGCCGCAACCACACCCCCAACCCCCCUCUCUCUCUCAUACACACACUCACACCCCAAACACACACCUGGUCGCGCCCACAGCCGCAUGCUGCCCCGGGCUGAGUUCGCCGCCUCCUUCUGGCGGGUGUACGGCGCACUGAGUACGGCGGCGGCACGGGACGCCCAGGCGGCGGCUACGGCGGCGGCGGCUGGUGGCGGCGGCGGCAGCCCCGCCAGCGGCCAGGUGGCGGCGGUGGGCAUGCCCAGCUUCUUUAGCUUUAUGACAAUCAUGGGUGAGCGCUAAUGGGGUGGAGCUGAAUAGAUUAACAUGGUCUGACGGUUAAGGAUUGUGUUGGAUAUCGCCCGUGGUUGCUGCUGUGAGAGCAUACGAUGAGACCGGCCUGGGCGGUAUAGGGCGUGUGCCCAAUGCUUUGCCCGUGCGCAUGAGACGUUGAUACCAAGCAACUUGCGACUGCUGCUGUCAUGAUUCGUGACUUGCCGCAGCCAUGGAUGCGUUCCUUGCCCGGCCUCCGGAGCUGCGGCCGCAGGUGGUGGUGCUUGAGGUGAGCGCGUGCUGCAGAGGGCGAAGGCGGGUGGAAAAGAGAAAGGGAAAGGGAAAGAGCAAAAGAUGGUUGGAAAGAGGGAAGGAUGGAAAGAGAGAAAGGGAAGCGCAACUGGUAGUGAUGGGUGUGCAGGAGCCACCCAUGCAAGAGCGCAAAGCAAGCCGACGCCAGCGGUGUGGCUGAGAACCAUGCUUUCCCCACCACCACCCGGCUACAACGCCACAUCUUACAACACCAUGUAACCAUGUAAUCCCCUGCCCGAUGUACACCUCUACCCACCCACCACCACCAUCACCGCCACCACCACCACCACCACCACCACCACCACCACCACCACCACCACCACCACCACCACCACCACCACCACCACCACCACCACCACGUGCAGGUGGGCAUCGGCGGGCGGCUGGACGCCACCAACGCGGUGGUGGGCCCCCGCGGCUGCUCCCUGGCCGCCGCCGCGGUGACCAGCCUGGGCUUCGACCACAUGGAGCUGCUGGGAGACACACUGCCGGUGAGGGGGGGGAGGGAGGGAGGAGGGAGGAGGGGGGGAGGGGGAGGGGGAGGGGGAGUUGCUGGGUUAUGUGCCCCAGCCCAGCAAAAACAUUGCAUGGUUUAGGGGGAGGGGGAGGUACUGCUGGCGAGGGUAGAAGGGAUACGAUGGUAAGGGAUGACGACCAGGAAGGACUAGAGCAUAGUAGGAGGCGAGCCGACGAAGAGAGAACGGCUUCUCGACAUAAGCAUGCGAGCUGACUUGCUGACCGCGCCGCUCGACUCCGUUGCACGCCUCACACAGAAAAUUGCUCGUGAGAAGGCGGGCGUGAUGAAGCCGGGGCGGCCGGUGCUGGCGGUGCCGCAGCCGGAGGAGGCUAUGGCGGCGUUGCAGGUGGGGCGGCGGGGGGGAGGGCGGGCGUGGGGGGAGGGGGACGGGGCGGGGACCGGAGGUGUGGGCUGUCGCACAAUGCGUGGGGGAGUGGAAAGGGUGUAGGAGGUGGUGUGGGUGGUGAUGUGAUUUGCGUGGGAGGCGGGGGAGGGGUGCGGGACUGGGAGGUACCGGUAGUCAACAGGAAGCCAUUCUAGAGCAUUCAACGCACAAAAACAUGCACGAGCAGCAUCUAUUUCGGUCACCACCGGCUGAGCGUUAUCUCCUGUGGUGUCGGCAACCCGGCGGUCCGUCACUCACACGCAGGAGGUGGCUGACCGCGUCGGCGCGUCGCUAUCCGUGCCGCCGCCGCUGGAGCGCUACAGCCUGGCGGCGGGUGCAGGCAGUAGCAGCAGUAGCAGCAGCUCGGCACCUGACCUGGUGGGUGUAAGGAGGUGCCGUAGCUGCUUCUUUUGAACUCCUUCCUUCCCCAUGGAAAGCUGUGACGACAUUCGCAACGACGGCAUGGGCAAAAAUGACGUGUAUUUGAUUAAUUUUGCGUAACACAGCACACAAUACUUAGUAUGAGAUAUCUGGAACAUAAAAUGCCAGCUGGUGCUGCUGCUGCUCCUGCCGUACAGGUGGGCCUGGGCGGGGAGCACAUGCGCCUCAACGCCUCCCUGGCUGUAGCACUGGCGGCCGAGUGGGAACGACAGUACGGCGCGGCUGCUACAGCCGCGGCGGCGGCAGCCGCCUCCGGUGCCGGCGCUGGCGCCGUGGCGGCUGCGGCGGCGGCGGCUGCCGGCAGGGCGCUGGUGCUGCUGCCCGGUGGGCCGAAGGGCGCAGAUGCCACGGCGCGUGCUGCUGCGGUCAGGUGAGUGAGGCUUGGGUCGUGUGUCGUCGCAUACGGUAUGCCGGCUUUGAGAGCGAGUUGCAGCAAGUACGGUUCGCAGCCACUUUUUCUCCAUCCGCUGUGGGGCCACACGACGGGCGGCAACUCAAAAUCCCCGGAGAGAGGCCGUGUUUAGAGACUGGGUAGACCCGUGCCAAAUCCACCUCGCUACCGUCCACGCCUGUUUCCCUAAGCNNNNNNNNNNNNNNNNNNNNNNNNNNNNNNNNNNNNNNNNNNNNNNNNNNNNNNNNNNNNNNNNNNNNNNNNNNNNNNNNNNNNNNNNNNNNNNNNNNNNAAUCGCCCCCGCCCCAUCCCACCCGCCACCCCACCCACCCCUACCCCACCCCCCGCCCCACUCCACACGCCCCGCCCCACCCCCACACGCCACUCCACCCCAACGCCCACCCCAUCCCAUCCCACCCACGCCACCCCAAUCCACCCCACCCCCCAACCGGCCCCCAACCGCCAACCCCCAACCACCUGCCGCCCCCUCACCUCCAGCAGGGGGAACACGGUGUUGCCUACGCCGCACCCCACCUCCAGCAGAGUGGCGGGCCCGGCAGCCAGGUCCGGAAACUCUGUGUGCGAGUGAAAAGGGGGAACGAGGAGGAGGGGGGUAGGAGGAGGGAGUGGCGGUUUAGCGUAGCGGUGCGUGCGUGGUCGGUGGUUGACCUGGGCAAACGCUGGGUACGGUGGCCACUGUGUCAUCGGCGACAGGCUGUCUUGCGGCGUCUCCACUCCUGCUUCAUUAAGAACCAUGCGCGCGUGUGCAUUACUUUCGGGCUGAGCCCGUACCUGCCCACGGCACGUGGCAGCCCAUGCAGCCGUGUCUGGCUCCGGCUCCGCGCGGCUGGUCGCCUCGGCCUUCUCAGCCAUUCCUACCUACCCGCCCGCCGCGCCCCGCAUCUGUAUUACUCAAGUGUUGAAACGGUACUACCAUCCUGGGCCCUUGCACUCCUCACCCUUGUGCAGGUAGUGCCGGUCCUUAAAGAAUUUUGUGGUAUUGCGCCUGUAGAACAUGUCCCAGUACUUGCCCGCCUGGGCUUCAUAGCGGUCUGCGAGCGAGCAGGCGUAGAGGAGGUACCGUGUGAGUGCACACGGAUGGCCGGCGGGGGAGAGGCUGGCCCUUCGUCGGCAGCCAUAGUCGGCGCUAUCGAGUUCAAUCGCAAGCCUCUGCGUCCAGCAUUCCUGCCAGUGGCCCGCGGCUGCGUUGUUAGCGAGCUGCCGCCGCGAGCAAUUGCGCGUUUGCUGCUGAGAGCAAAGGACGAGCCUUUACUUUUAUUUGCUUGACCAUUUAGGUAUGAGUAGUUAUUUGAAGAAACAGAAAGGAAAUUACCUGCAAGGUGCGGCGGCACAUCGCUCAAGUCUUCUGGGAGAAGCUUUAGCGCCAUAUUUGGGCACCUAUACACGCACUUAUAAGCAUGUGUUCCGUGUGGAUGUGGUGGGCGCUGCGUCACUUGAGCACCGGUCAAACAGUGGUCCCCAUCGCUGAUGCAUGCUGCGGCCUUUCACCGGUAACGGGGGCGGGGGGGGGGUAGGAAGGCUCAUAGGUCCUGUAUUCUUCAGCACCAGUAAAAAGGCUAUGCAUGCCUCUGUAUCCUAGGACAUGACAGGCAGGCAGUGAGACAGUUCAGGAUAGUGUGCAGAAGGCAGAAUAGCCGUGCCGUGCCAUGCCGCCAAAUCCUGGCUUGUGCAUAGUAGGCAGGAGCCAGCUAACCAACAAACCUCAGGCCAUCCUGUCCUGUCUUGCUAAUUAUUUUUCGCAUACACAUAGCUGGGAACCCUAGGGCGGAACCCUAAGGGCGUUAUCGUACGGGGGGCGGAUGGGCGCCAACCCUCCCCUGGCUGCCAACUGCAUGUGCAUUUGGACCAAGCCCUGCUCGCAUGCCGCGCGCUGCAGAAACACGAAUGCUAUCUAGGGGUCUCAACAUAAAAUGCAUGGAUACCUGAGGUUCACAGCACGUAUGCAGUGGAAUUGAGCGAGCCGGCGAUAUCGGUUUGCCCAACGUUGCUCCGAACCAUCAUAAAACCUGUGCGCUCAAUCAUAAGCUGCAAAAUAUCAACAGAAUUUACUCUUGUUUGCACGGCACCUUGGGCUGACCGGAAUUGCAAAUUGGAGCUCGCUGUAGGUAGCUUCUGGCUUAUCAAAACAUACGGAUACCGUCAUGUGGGCAAGCGCUUUGCUUCG